rnacentral:rRNA from 2 species
AUCAACGGCAUCACGAGGAUCCUACUGUCUCCCCCCUCUAAUCAGUGAAACUGAUCUCCCCGUGAAGAAGCGGGGAUAUACAUAUAAGACGAGAAGACCCCAUGGAGCUUUAAACCUGACAGCACCCGCUCAUUCUAUACCCCAUUAUUUGCCCGACCCCUGUCUGCUCAGUUUUAGGUUGGGGUGACCACGGAGUAUAAAAUAACCUCCAUGAAGAAGGGGAUAUUUCCCUUAUUAGAGAACCACACUUCCAAGAACUAAUAAAUUAAUUUUCAAUGACCCGAUACCCGAUAAUCGAUCAACGAACCAAGUUACCCUGGGGAUAACAGCGCAAUCCACCCUGAAAGCCCUUAUUAACAGGUGGGUUUACGACCUCGAUGUUGGAUCAGGGUAUCCCAGUGGUGCAGCAGCUACUGAGGGUUCGUUUGUUCAACGAUUAAAACCCU